rnacentral:rRNA from 1 species
ACUCAGUGAAAUUGAACUCGCUGUGAAGAUGCAGUGUACCCGCGGCAAGACGGAAAGACCCCGUGAACCUUUACUAUAGCUUGACACUGAACAUUGAGCCUUGAUGUGUAGGAUAGGUGGGAGGCUUUGAAGUGUGGACGCCAGUCUGCAUGGAGCCGACCUUGAAAUACCACCCUUUAAUGUUUGAUGUUCUAACGUUGACCCGUAAUCCGGGUUGCGGACAGUGUCUGGUGGGUAGUUUGACUGGGGCGGUCUCCUCCUAAAGAGUAACGGAGGAGCACGAAGGUUGGCUAAUCCUGGUCGGACAUCAGGAGGUUAGUGCAAUGGCAUAAGCCAGCUUGACUGCGAGCGUGACGGCGCGAGCAGGUGCGAAAGCAGGUCAUAGUGAUCCGGUGGUUCUGAAUGGAAGGGCCAUCGCUCAACGGAUAAAAGGUACUCCGGGGAUAACAGGCUGAUACCGCCCAAGAGUUCAUAUCGACGGCGGUGUUUGGCACCUCGAUGUCGGCUCAUCACAUCCUGGGGCUGAAGUAGGUCCCAAGGGUAUGGCUGUUCGCCAUUUAAAGUGGUACGCGAGCUGGGUUUAGAACGUCGUGAGACAGUUCGGUCCCUAUCUGCCGUGGGCGCUGGAGAACUGAGGGGGGCUGCUCCUAGUACGAGAGGACCGGAGUGGACGCAUCACUGGUGUUCGGGUUGUCAUGCCAAUGGCACUGCCCGGUAGCUAAAUGCGGAAGAGAUAAGUGCUGAAAGCAUCUAAGCACGAAACUUGCCCCGAGAUGAGUUCUCCCUGACUCCUUGAGAGUCCUGAAGGAACGUUGAAGACGACGACGUUGAUAGGCCGGGUGUGUAAGCGCAGCGAUGCGUUGAGCUAACCGGUACUAAUGAACCGUGAGGCUUAACCUU